rnacentral:rRNA from 1 species
GACGAACGCUGGCGGCGUGCCUAAUACAUGCAAGUCGAACGGUCUUUUCUAUGGAAGCUUGCUUCCACUGAGAAGAUAGUGGCGGACGGGUGAGUAACGCGUUGGUGACCUGCCCCGAAGUGGGGGAUAACAGUUCGAAAGGACUGCUAAUACCGCAUACAAUCAGUUGGGUUAGAGACCUUCUGAUAAAAGGAGUAAUUCGCUUCGGGAGGGGCCUGCGUCCCAUCAGCUAGUUGGUAAGGUAAUGGCCUACCAAGGCGAU